CGUAGGGACCAAGCGUUGUUCGGAUUUACUGGGCGUAAAGGGCGCGUAGGCGGCGUGACAAGUCACUUGUGAAAUCUCUGGGCUUAACCCAGAACGGCCAAGUGAUACUGUCGUGCUAGAGUGCAGAAGGGGCAAUCGGAAUUCUCGGUGUAGCGGUGAAAUGCGUAGAUAUCGAGAGGAACACCAGAGGUGAAGACGGGUUGCUGGGCUGACACUGACGCUGAGGCGCGAAAGCCAGGGGAGCAAACGGGAUUAGAUACCCCGGUAGUCCUGGCCCUAAACGAUGAAUACUUGGUGUCUGGAGUAAUUUGUGCUCCGGGUGCCGUCGCUAACGUUUUUAGUAUUCCGCCUGGGGAGUACGCUCGCAAGAGUG
rnacentral:rRNA from 1 species